rnacentral:lncRNA from 1 species
UUUUGUUGCCAACAGUGAGCAGUGAAACACUUGUGGCUUAUUUAUGGAUAUUCCGCUAUUGUCUAUGGAAAUGGUCUGAUGUUGUUUAAAGGAAUAUUCUCUUGUCGUUGAUAGGAUAUAGAGGAAAGCACACGGCAGAAGUUGAUUCCUGCAGUGGACCAACGGAACCAUGGAUAGAAAAUAUGUCAUAGCAAUUGCUGUAUGUGCGACUGUGAUAGUCGUCAUCAUCGUCAUCGUCGUUGUCGUCGUGGCUCUGUUAAUCAGACGUCGGAGGAGGGUUGUUCGAGUUAUAAAUAUCCCCAUACCCUCACCAGCAAAUUGCAGGAGGAAAAGCAAUGAUGAGGACAACCCGCCUGGAACCACUGACGGAUCAGGCAGUACUGUGGAGGAGA